AAGUGAAAAAACUGGGAUUCAAAAAAAUUAAGUGACUUACCAAAUAUUACAGAGCUAGUAAGCCAAGACUUGAACACUGAGAUGGAAUUCUACCUUUUAAGGUGGCUAAGCAACAGAAGGAUGUUCCUUUCCCAAGGGGAAUACUACUAAAGUCAUGCCGUGUGACUUCUGAAGCUAGCUCCUAAGAAGUCCUUGCAGCUUCUGCCUGCGACUCUUAGAACACUUGCUUUGAAGGAUGCCAGAUGCUGUCUUAAAAGUCUGAGCACUCUGAAACCAUCAUGCUGUGAGGAAGCCCAAGCUAACCACAUGGGCAAAAAAGAUGCCCUCUGACUGCCACCAUUUGAGACACUCUAAUUAAGAACUGCCUCAUUGAGCCCAUGAGGCCCUGUGAAUGAUAAUAAUAAAUUGUUUUUAACCACUAUGUUUUUGGAUUUGUUAUAAGUUUAUAGAUAACAAGAAAAAGUUAUAUUAGCAUGGUAAUAAAAUUAUG
rnacentral:lncRNA from 10 species